AGAUGGAAGUAGGGCUCCUCUUUGUGAAAAAGGGAGGUCUGGGUUGUUUGAAGACUGGACAGGGUCAAGUGAGCAAGCAGGUAGAAACUACUCCAAGUGGAAAGCAUCCUGUCAUCUAGAAGGGACUGCAAAGUGCACUAAAAUAACAGGCUUGGAUAGAUGAAGCUCUUGUGUAACUGAGAGAGCACUUUGUGCCAAUUUCCAGUUUGAAUACAGAUUAGUCACUUGUGCAGAGCCUUUAAUGAAGUCCUGGUCCUGUAGGGAAUUUGGG